UACGUAGGGUGCGAGCGUUGUCCGGAAUUAUUGGGCGUAAAGGGCUCGUAGGCGGUUUGUCGCGUCGGGAGUGAAAAUCCAGGGCUUAACUCUGGACUGGCUUCCGAUACGGGCAGACUAGAGGUAUGCAGGGGAGAACGGAAUUCCUGGUGUAGCGGUGGAAUGCGCAGAUAUCGGGAGGAACACCAGUGGCGAAGGCGGCGAUCUGGGAAGAUACUGACGCUGAGGUGCGAAAGCGUGGGGAGCAAACAGG
rnacentral:rRNA from 1 species